AAGUGAAUAAUCAUGUGGUGUUUAUCUCGGGGACGAGGCCGUGUCCCCGGCAUCAUAACGAAAUCCGCUGAGUUUUUUCCGUGCUCUCUCUCCGCGAGCACCCGGGUUCUGUCGUUUGGCCCCCACCUUCUCCCAGGACAAUUUAUCCAGUUUCUCCAUCGGCGCCGUUGUGUGGGGGUCGUCAUUACUGUUAUGGUCAGGUGUGAGGCCCCUCUUCCUGAGAUCCUUUAAGGCAUCAGCUGCGCUGUUAUAUGUGACUGUGCCACCGUCAAAAAACACAUG